rnacentral:lncRNA from 1 species
CCAAGACAAAAGCAGCACACAGUAAAUCCGGCAACAGCAAAUGCCCCAAGACCUGUUCCUCCAGCUCUCGGGUGUGUUUGCAAAGGGUUGGUUCUGCUUUGUUUUUAUAUAAGGGGCCAGGGAAGGGAAGUGAGGUUUAAAGCAGAGAAGGUAGCCCCUAGGGGCAGCCCCAUGGGGUCAAGGACAGCGGCAAGAUGACCCAGAGGGGCCCUUGGUGGACCCAGGGGACCUGACCACCACCUGGAAACUCUGAGGUCACAGUGCUUUGGGGCACAUGUCGUAAGGGGCCCUUUCAGUACCACUUAUCCCUGCCACCCAGGUAGGGGAGGGUGGGAAUGUCAGUCCUCACCACCCACUCCUUCUAGGCAGAUGCUCCCAAUGCCCCUCCACCCAGCCCCAAGGCCCAGCUGCAUGGCUGGAGUUUUCAUGAGCAAGUUUCACCUGCCUCCAGUCCUCCCAAGUGGUCCUUCCAGCACCUUCCACGGGUCUCCCCAGACAUCCUGCACCCCCCACACCAGCCACGUCACUAUUCAUGCAUUCUUGGUAAAUCCUUGGUACAACCUGAUCUGGACCAACAUUUCUAGAGAAGCCCUGUGAUUACUUCACUCUUGUAUUAAAAUCCUCCAUUUGCUCCUCUCACCCACUACAAAUCUCCUAGUCCUCCAGCUGGAAUUGGCUUCCAAAAUCCAGCUGCAAUGGGAAGGGUGAGGCGGACUCCUCCCCUUCCCCAGCUGCUCAUCCUUGAGCAAGACACUUCAACAACUGAGCCUUGGUUUUCUCAUCUGUGAAAUGGGGAUGAUAAACCAAAAUUGAAAUUCUAAGCCCCCCAACCAUCUGAAUGAACCCCUCCUCUCAGCAAGGCUAUUGACAGCAAUUUGGAAUCUCAGCAGUGCCAAAGCUAACCCGAAAAACUAAUUCAGGCCAUGAUGGGAAGGGUGGGGGGUUGGACAUACCUGAUUCUACCCUCCUCCCUUUUGGAUUUAUUGAUAGACCCUCUAAGUCUGACAAGAAACAUUUACAAUCUAUUCUCUCCAAAGCCUGCCACCUGGAGGCUUCGCCUGCAUAAUAAAACCUUGGUCUCCACACCCACUUAUCUUAA